rnacentral:rRNA from 1 species
AGUGAACGCUGGCGGUAGGCCUAACACAUGCAAGUCGAACGGCAGCACAGGAGAGCUUGCUCUCUGGGUGGCGAGCGGCGGACGGGUGAGGAAUACAUCGGAAUCUACUCUGUCGUGGGGGAUAACGUAGGGAAACUUACGCUAAUGCCGCAUACGACCUACGGGUGAAAGCAGGGGAUCUUCGGACCUUGCGCGAUUGCAUGAGCCGAUGUCGGAUUAGCUAGUUGGCGGGGUAAAGGCCCACCAAGGCGACGAUCCGUAGCUGGUCUGAGAGGAUGAUCAGCCACACUGGAACUGAGACACGGUCCAGACUCCUACGGGAGGCAGCAGUGGGGAAUAUUGGACAAUGGGCGCAAGCCUGAUCCAGCCAUACCGCGUGGGUGAAGAAGGCCUUCGGGUUGUAAAGCCCUUUUGUUGGGAAAGAAAUCCAGCUGGCUAAUACCCGGUUGGGAUGACGGUACCCAAAGAAUAAGCACCGGCUAACUUCGUGCCAGCCGCCGCAGUAA